GAUCUUCUCUGAUGUGAGAAAUUAAAAUUUGAGCUUGGCUGAUUAUUAUGACUUCAUUUCAAGUUAACAUGUCCAUCAACUUCUACUCGGAUUUGCAUGAAUUUAUCUCGCAUUUGCUACAAAGAGAAGCAGUAGAAAGAGCAUAAGGGUAAGAAACAGGACCGCUUGCUUUGCACCUCUUAUGGACCAUAUUAGGAGGAAUGCAUUAUUCGGCGUUAUCCUGUUAAGAGAACUGGUUCCAGCUUUUGAAAGGAUACUAUUGCGUAUUCACCCGGACAAGUGCUUGGCGCGUACAUUUUUGUGAAUAGAAAUUACUCAAGUUGUUAAUAGACGUGCAUGGCAUGCAGACAUCUGAAGUUUUAAACCUAUACAAGAAGCGAUACUGUCUGGAAUGGAUCAAAUGCACUCCAUUUAAGUCCCCUCUACUCUCCAGUCGGACGUUUUGGAGUUUGCACCUGUGAAGUGUGAACUAGAAAAUGGACUUCGAAAUGACUCCUGAAAGUUUUAUCUUUCAGAUACAUAAAAUUUGGUUUCUGGAUUUGUGCGAAUGUUGGAAAGUCCUUUUUCUUUGGUAGUCUGAUGCUAUUUUCUUCUUCUUCUUGAAACUUCACUUUAUUGUUGUGAUCAGACUUGCGCUGUUUUGUUUCCCUUCUUGCACAGAUAGAAGCAGAAACUGGUACAAGACAUUGUCGUAACAGUAAACUUUUUCAAUUAGAUGGAGAUAAUUGCAUAAAGUUGUCAGAAAUAAAACGAAGAAUGAUCAACAUUGUGAUCAUGCCCGAUAUAUACAUAUCAGUACUGCAGAUGAGGAUACAUGGAGGUAGCAUGUCUGAUCAUCCCUUCCAAUAUAGGCAAACCAAGUGCACGUUUGUUAUGAAUUUUGGAGGAAGAAUAUAAGAACCAAACAUAUCUAGCUAACUGCAUAAAUACAUUAUACUUUGAUCCUCUCCGUGUCUUUGUCAACAAACUAUGAGGACAGUUAGUCUUUUGUUCAAUAUUUAACCAAGUUUGCUACACGGAAGAAAUACUGUCUCUGCAAAUUGAGUUGUGAUCCGAUGGUAAAAGUUGAUGGGCCUAGCUCAGACAAACUUUAAGCACUACUGUACUUACUUGGAUUUCUCCACUUGUGAAAAUACAUUGCGUUA